rnacentral:rRNA from 1 species
UGGGGAAUAUUGCACAAUGGGCGCAAGCCUGAUGCAGCCAUGCCGCGUGUGUGAAGAAGGCCUUCGGGUUGUAAAGCACUUUCAGCGGGGAGGAAGGCGUUAAGGUUAAUAACCUUGGCGAUUGACGUUACCCGCAGAAGAAGCACCGGCUAACUCCGUGCCAGCAGCCGCGGUAAUACGGAGGGUGCAAGCGUUAAUCGGAAUUACUGGGCGUAAAGCGCACGCAGGCGGUCUGUCAAGUCGGAUGUGAAAUCCCCGGGCUCAACCUGGGAACGGCAUUCGAAACUGGCAGGCUAGAGUCUUGUAGAGGGGGGUAGAAUUCCAGGUGUAGCGGUGAAAUGCGUAGAGAUCUGGAGGAAUACCGGUGGCGAAGGCGGCCCCCUGGACGAAGACUGACGCUCAGGUGCGAAAGCGUGGGGAGCAAACAGG